CCCUGCACAAGCCCUGGGCCCUGACCUUCUCGUACGGCCGCGCGCUGCAGGCCUCCGCGCUGAAGGCCUGGGCAGGCAAGAAGGAGAAUGCCAAGGCCUCCCAGGAGGAGUACAUCAAGAGAGCAACGACUAACAGCCAGGCUGCGGUCGGGAAGUAUGUUCCCACUGGAGACAAGGGCGCAGCCGCCGGAGAAUCCCUGUUCGUCGCCAACCACGCCUACUGAGAACACUCCACCCCUGAUGAAGACACGCCCACUGUCUUGACAUCAUCAUGGUGGGGGCGGGACUCUUGAGGGGAAACGUGCCGAGACGGACAGCGCCUUCAGCCAAUUGGGCGCCUGCGUUUGUGUAGUUAACUGUGCUGUCCUGGUAGUUGUAGACCCUUCUGUGUGAUGUCACUUCCUGUUCCAUGUUGUGCCUUCUCUCUCCUUUUUGCCUCUAAUAUUGGGGGAAAAAAAUAAAUAAAGGUAACCCACAAAUGCUGGA